AACGAACGCUGGCGGCAUGCCUAACACAUGCAAGUCGAACGACAUCUUCGGGUCUAGUGGCGCACGGGUGCGUAACGCGUGGGAGUCUUCCCUCUGGUUCGGAAUGACAGUUGGAAACGACUGCUAAUACCGAAUGAUGAUGAAAGUCCAAAGAUUUAUCGCCAGAGCAUGAGGCGGCGUAGGAUGAGCUAGUGGGUGUGGUAAGGGGCACCAAGGCGACGAUCCUUAGCUGGUCUGAGAGGAUGAUCAGCCACAAUGGGACUGAGACACGGCCCAGACUCGUACGGGAGGCAGCAGUGGGGAAUAUUGGACAAUGGGCGAAAGUCUGAUCCAGCAACGCCGCGUGAGUGAUGAAGGCCUUAGGGUUGUAAAGCUCUUUUACCCGGGAUGAUAAUGACAGUACCGGGAGAAUAAGCUCCGGCUAACUCCGUGCCAGCAGCCGCGGUAA
rnacentral:rRNA from 1 species